GACGAACGCUGGCGGCGUGCUUAACACAUGCAAGUCGAACGGAAAGGCCCUGCUUUUGUGGGGUGCUCGAGUGGCGAACGGGUGAGUAACACGUGAGUCACCUGCCCUUGACUUUGGGAUAACUUCAGGAAACUGGGGCUAAUACCGGAUAGGAGCUCCUGCUGCAUGGGGGGGGUUGGAAAGUUUCGGCGGUUGGGGAUGGACUCGCGGCUUAUCAGCUUGUUGGUGGGGUAGUGGCUUACCAAGGCUUUGACGGGUAGCCGGCCUGAGAGGGUGACCGGCCACAUUGGGCCUGAGAUCCGGCCCAGACUCCUACGGGAGGCAGCAGUGGGGAAGAUGGCACAAUGGGCGGAAGCCUGAUGCAGCAACGCCGCGUGCGGGAUGACGGCCUUCGGGUUGUAAACCGCUUUCGCCUGUGACGAAGCGUGAGUGACGGUAAUGGGUAAAGAAGCACCGGCUAACUACGUG
rnacentral:rRNA from 1 species